GACGUAGGGCGCGAGCGUUGUCCGGAUUUAUUGGGCGUAAAAAGCUCGUAGGCGGUUUGUCGCGUCUGCCGUGAAAGUCCGGGGCUCAACUCCGGAUCUGCGGUGGGUACGGGCAGACUAGAGUGAUGUAGGGGAGACUGGAAUUCCUGGUGUAGCGGUGAAAUGCGCAGAUAUCAGGAGGAACACCGAUGGCGAAGGCAGGUCUCUGGGCAUUAACUGACGCUGAGGAGCGAAAGCAUGGGGAGCGAACAGG
rnacentral:rRNA from 1 species